rnacentral:rRNA from 1 species
AUACAUGCAAGUCGAGCGGACGGAUGGGAGCUUGCUCCCAGACCGUCAGCGGCGGACGGGAGNCAAACACGUGGGCAACCUGCCUGUAAGACUGGGAUAACUCCGGGAAACCGGGGCUAAUACCGGAUAACUCUUUUCCUCCCAUGAGGAAAAGCUGAAAGAUGGCAUCUCGCUAUCUUUUACAGAUGGGCCCGCGGCGCAUUAGCUAGUUGGUGAGGUAACGGCUCACCAAGGCGACGAUGCGUAGCCCACCUGAGAGGGUGAUCGGCCACACUGGGACUGAGACACGGCCCAGACUCCUACGGGAGGCAGCAGUAGGGAAUCUUCCGCAAUGGACGAAAGUCUGACGGAGCAACGCCGCGUGAGUGAUGAAGGUUUUCGGAUCGUAAAACUCUGUUGUCAGGGAAGAACAAGUACCGGAGUAACUGCCGGUACCUUGACGGUACCUGACCAGAAAGCCACGGCUAACUACGUGCCAGCAGCCGCGGUAAUACGUAGGUGGCAAGCGUUGUCCGGAAUUAUUGGGCGUAAAGCGCGCGCAGGCGGUUCCUUAAGUCUGAUGUGAAAGCCCCCGGCUCAACCGGGGAGGGUCAUUGGAAACUGGGGAACUUGAGUGCAGAAGAGAAGAGUGGAAUUCCACGUGUAGCGGUGAAAUGCGUAGAGAUGUGGAGGAACACCAGUGGCGAAGGCGACUCUUUGGUCUGUAACUGACGCUGAGGCGCGAAAGCGUGGGGGAGCAAACAGGAUUAGAUACCCUGGUAGUCCACGCCGUAAACGAUGAGUGCUAAGUGUUAGAGGGUUUCCGCCCUUUAGUGCUGCAGCAAACGCAUUAAGCACUCCGCCUGGCGGAGUACGGCCGCAAGGCUGAAACUCAAGGAAUUGACGGGGGCCCGCACAAGCGGUGGAGCAUGUGGUUUAAUUCAAGCAACGC